rnacentral:rRNA from 1 species
AUUGAACGCUGGCGGCAGGCCUAACACAUGCAAGUCGAACGGUAACAGGAAGAAGCCUGCUUCUUUCCUGACGAGAGGCGGACGGGUGAGUAAUGUAUGGGAAACUGCCUGAUGGAGGGGGUUAACUACUGGAAACGGUUGCUAAAACCGCAUAACGUCGCAAGACCAAAGAGGGGGACCUCCGGGCCUCUUGCAAUCGGCUGUGCCCAGGUGGGAUUAGCUAGUAGGUGGGGUAACGGCUCACCUAGGCGACGAUCCGUAGCUGGUCUGAGAGGAUGACCAGCCACACUGGAACUGAGACACGGUCCAGACUCCUACGGGAGGCAGCAGUGGGGAAUAUUGGACAAUGGGCGCAAGCCUGAUGCAGCCAUGCCGCGUGUAUGAAGAAGGCCUUCGGGUUGUAAAGUACUUUCAGCGGGGAGGAAGGGAAGAAAGUUAAUACCUUGGCGCAUUGACGUUACCCACAGAAUAAGCACCGGCUAACUCCGUG